CCCUUAGAUGUUCUGGGCUGCACGCGCGCUACACUGAUGCGUUCAACGAGUUUAUGACCUUGCCCGAUAGGGUUGGGUAAUCUUUUUAAAUCGCAUCGUGAUGGGGAUAGAUUAUUGCAAUUAUUAAUCUUCAACGAGGAAUUCCUAGUAAGCGCGAGUCAUCAGCUCGUGCUGAUUACGUCCCUGCCCUUUGUACACACCGCCCGUCGCACCUACCGAUUGAAUGGUCCGGUGAAAUCUCGGGACGGCGGCUUGGUCGCUUGCGUCCGACUGCUGAAACUUGAUUAAACCAUAUCAUUUAGAGGAAGGUGAANUCGUANCA
rnacentral:rRNA from 1 species